AAUAGAUACCCAGGUAGUCCACGCCGUAAACGAUGAGUGCUAGGUGUCACGGGCUUUGACCCUCGUGGUGCCGCAGCUAACGCAAUAAGCACUCCGCCUGGGGAGUACGGCCGCAAGGCUAAAACUCAAAGGGAAUUGACGGGGGCCCGCACAAGCGGUGGAGCAUGUGGUUUAAUUCGACGCGACGCGCAGAACCUUACCUGGGCUAGAAAACGUAGGAACCUGGGUGAAAACUCGGGGUGCUCUUCGGGAGAAUCUACGGUUAGGUGUUGCAUGGCUGUCGUCAGCUCGUGUCGUGAGAUGUUGGGUUAAGUCCCGCAACGAGCGCAACCCUUGUCGUUAGUUGCCAGCAUUGAGUUGGGCACUCUAACGAGACUGCCGACUUUCAAGUCGGAGGAAGGUGGGGAUGACGUCAAGUCCUCAUGGCCCCUAUGUCCAGGGCUACACACGUGCUACAAUGGUCGGUACAAAGGGCUGCGAUACCGCGAGGUGGAGCGAAUCUCAAAAAGCCGGUCUCAGUUCGGAUUGGGGUCUGCAACUGCCCC
rnacentral:rRNA from 1 species